GGUCGAAUGGUGUAGUGGUCUAUCACGCUUGCUUCACAUCACGUUCGCAAGAGGCCCCGGGUUCGACCCCCGGUUCGACCU